rnacentral:rRNA from 1 species
GACGAACGCUGGCGGCGUGCUUAACACAUGCAAGUCGAACGGAAAGGCCCUGCUUUUGUGGGGUGCUCGAGUGGCGAACGGGUGAGUAACACGUGAGUAACCUGCCCUUGACUUUGGGAUAACUUCAGGAAACUGGGGCUAAUACCGGAUAGGAGCUCCUGCUGCAUGGUGGGGGUUGGAAAGUUUCGGCGGUAGGGGAUGGACUCGCGGCUUAUCAGCUUGUUGGUGGGGUAGUGGCUUACCAAGGCUUUGACGGGUAGCCGGCCUGAGAGGGUGACCGGCCACAUUGGGACUGAGAUACGGCCCAGACUCCUACGGGAGGCAGCAGUGGGGAAUAUUGCACAAUGGGCGGAAGCCUGAUGCAGCAACGCCGCGUGCGGGAUGACGGCCUUCGGGUUGUAAACCGCUUUCGCCUGUGACGAAGCGUGAGUGACGGUAAUGGGUAAAGAAGCACCGGCUAACUACGUG